GACGUAGGGGGCUAGCGUUGUUCGGAAUCACUGGGCGUAAAGGGCGCGUAGGCGGCUGUUCAAGUCGGGGGUGAAAUCCCGUGGCUCAACCACGGAAUGGCCUUCGAUACUGGACGGCUGGAGACCGGAAGAGGUGAGUGGAACUGCGAGUGUAGAGGUGAAAUUCGUAGAUAUUCGCAAGAACACCAGUGGCGAAGGCGGCCCCCUGGCUCGUACCUGACGCUCAGCCACGAAAGCAUGGGGAGCGAACGGG
rnacentral:rRNA from 1 species